rnacentral:rRNA from 1 species
GAUGAACGCUGGCGGCGUGCCUAAUACAUGCAAGUCGAACGAAACUUCUUUAUCACCGAGUGCUUGCACUCACCGAUAAAGAGUUGAGUGGCGAACGGGUGAGUAACACGUGGGCAACCUGCCCAAAAGAGGGGGAUAACACUUGGAAACAGGUGCUAAUACCGCAUAACCAUAGUUACCGCAUGGUAACUAUGUAAAAGGUGGCUAUACUACCGCUUUUGGAUGGGCCCGCGGCGCAUUAGCUAGUUGGUAGGGUAAAGGCUUACCAAGGCAAUGAUGCGUAACCGAAUUGAGAGGUUGAUCGGCCACAUUGGGACUGAGACACGGCCCAAACUCCUACGGGAGGCAGCAGUAGGGAAUCUUCCACAAUGGGCGAAAGCCUGAUGGAGCAACGCCGCGUGGGUGAAGAAGGUCUUCGGAUCGUAAAACCCUGUUGUUAGAGAAGAAAGUGCGUGAGAGUAACUGUUCACGUUUCGACGGUAUCUAACCAGAAAACCACGGCUAACUACGU